rnacentral:lncRNA from 1 species
UCCAGUGUUUAAAGUUAAAAUUCAGUCCUUUAGACUUUCCCCUUAAGGCAUGAUGUCUUAUGAAUUUAUUCAUGCAUGUUAAUCCAACUAGUAAUUUUUUCCUCUCGCUCUGUGUAUAAUCUUCCUCUCCUUUUAGCAUUUGACCAUUUCAAACACUCAAAGAGAAACAAUAAGCUCCCAUGGAAAGCUGUUCCUCUCAACAGUAAAACAAACAAACAAACAAACAAAAAAACAACAAUAAAAGAAAACAAACGGAUCAAAAACUUACUACCAUUGUGGGAUAAUUUAGGCCUCUACAAUCAUGUGUGAUGACAAGAAACAAACCACGGAACAGUAUGGAACUGAAGAUUUAUUCAAUACAGAACUGAAAUUGAAAUCCUUUUAGUGAAGAAAAAACACCUGAGAACUGUGGAGCAUGAAGUCUUGAUGUGAGAACCACCCCACAGCAAUAAAGGCCAUUUCAGAGAGGAUAAAGCAAAGCACACUGAAAAAAAAUAACUCAUAUGAAAGGCUCCACUGCUGGAGCUUACACCUCCUCCUCAGCUGACAGUAAGCCACUGGAUCCUAACGUGUAUUCAAUAGCCUCCAACCAGGAAGAACUAUUUCAACAGCUUGCAUCUUUUGGCUGGUGUGGGAGAAGUAUGAAGUCAGAGUCUGAAUUAAACAACUCGCUCUAGAGCAAGCCCCUAUGCAACUGGCUCCACUUUCAGCAGGGGGAGCAUGGGAAAUCCUACCUGAUCACUGUUCAUCUUGUCACAUAGAGACUUCGAACUCCAAGACUGUGUAAUCUUUUUCAGAACCACUGAAUUAACCUAGGCAAGUUGUAAAAGUCUCACACCGAAGCUACAUAAACAUAAAUGGGAUUAUCAGAGUGUGCUUUAUGACCCACUUACCUGCUGCCUGUGGUUCCGGUACCUUUUUAAGCAUCGCUCCUUUACAUUUCUCCCCCUGUAUUGUUUCUAAUUAAGUAAAGCUCAUCAGAAGGCUAUUUUUUAUUUUGUUAAUUUUCUACUCUUAAGAAAUUAGAAGCGCCCAGUUAAGAAGUUCGUUUCUUUAAUCUGAAUGGAAGGCAUAAUUCUGCAUCCUUUCUACAAUUGCUUUGGUCCCAUACAUCUUUUGUCUUCAAGUCAUAGAAGAGCCUCAGUCAAAGCAUUCUGAGUCGGCACCAUCGACAGACUUGAGCAGAUGCCCAGACACUUGUUAGCUUGAAACUGUAGCAUGGGCCAACAGGCCAUAACAUCACCAAACAGCAAUUAACUAAUGCAGUACGAAAUAAGACUCUCUCACCUGACAUACCUAGGGAGAUCUGAUGGUAGCAGUUUGAAUUGGUUCUCUAGGAUAGGGACAACAAUUUAGUAAAAUUUCAAGUGUUUUAUGCGAUAAUUACACUUUUUUGGAGGUCGACUGCUCAGCAGCAAGUAGAGGAAAAACGUAUUUCCUAUUCCUGUCAAACCAUGGUUUGUAGCCUUUAGAGAAACACAUGCCUUGGAAUCUCACUUUUCUGCUUUCUCUGCUGCAGCAUUGCAGCACAGCAAUGAAGGGAACAUAGAAAAUGGUUAAUGACAGCAGUGUGACCAACUGAUAGCUGAGAAAACCACAAGAUGUGCACAGUUCUACUUUCAGUUCUUCUCAGUACAAUUAAAGCUCUAAACACAGACUCUGACUAAAAUACCCAAAAAAUCCUCUGCAAAGUUUCUACCUCUUUUUUUUUGGAGGUGGGGAGGGGACAGAAAGGGGAAGGAGAAAAAAAUUGUCCCUUAAUUUCUCUUCACCCUCAAGAAAGGCAAAUCAAUGGAAUUAAUGGAAACAAAGCUAAACCUCAGACUGAGUACUUGAACACUUGCUGUGCUACUAGUCCGUUCUAAUUCAAGGAUUUUAUUAGUGCUUACAGUCCUUUUUGCAUCUGUUUAAGACAAUUUACAUCAUACACUUCAGGCAAAUGUUCAAAUGAUUUUUAAACUGCAGGCAAAUACUAUGCACGUGAGCUUGCCAAAUUGAACAUUUUUAUGUGUAUUUCCAAUUUUACUAAAGCACGGAUUGGAUAUGUUGGCCAGUGAACACCUGCUCCCUCUGCCGACUGCAAUUUUGUGUGCCUCAGUAGUAUCAAGGUAUCCUUAACUUCUAUGUAUAUAAUAAUUAUUUCCAUUGAGGGAAAACUGCUGAGAUACAAGUUUCAAAGCAAACUAGCAAAGCCUACUCAAACUAUUUAUUUUUAUCUGAGCUUGAAUAUUUACCAUAUCUGAACUGGAAUCUAGCAUAUAUUCUGAUAUGCUAGAUUCUGAUAAAGUAACUGAAACAUUGUCUCCCAUCCCUUUAAUAAAAAUCACUUUCUAAACUUGAAACGUGAUUUAAAUAUUUUUAUUUAAAAAAGUGAUUUGGGUGAGUGUGUUUUUGACUAUUGCUUCUUUAGACUGUUAGAGAGAAAAAAAACUCCAAACAGAACUGAUAUAACCUAAAGCAAACAGACUGCCUACAAAGAUGUCCGUCAGAACAUACAUUUUGGUAUUGCAGGACUUGCAUCUAGAUGUGGCUAUCAAGCCUUCACAUCAGCGGGCUUGCAUAAGCAGCUUAACACAUUAAGUUCACUCAUUUAAAUGCUGUUGAUUCUCCAAGUCACAAAACACAAUGUUUAUUAAUGCCUAAGCAGCUAAGAUUGUAGUUAGGUGUCUGAUCUAAUUCAAACUGAUAGAAUCAUUAUUUUCUUUAUCGUAAGUGAUGACAGGUUUUUGUCUUUGGUCUGCAAUAAAUUCCAGGGACCAUUUAAAACUAACUAGUUUAAUGUAAUCCUUUUCCACUGUAGGAUAAUUAUAGUGUUGCAUGUUAAACUGAGCAAAACUAGCAUGAAAUUAGAAGUAGUACCCUUCUUACUGCCAAAUGGAUUCCCUAAAACAAUCAUUAUCAAUUUGCAGUUGCAAUUACAACAACCUACGUGUAAGCAUAUAUCUAGGAGUAACACUUAAAUAACAGUGGUACAAAGAUUCUUUUCAAAGACAACAAAGAUUUUACCACUGGGUUCUACUUGAAUUAGAAAACUAUUUUUUACUGACUAUAUACUAGAUCAUUUGCUGCACUUCUGAAUUUAUAGGUUUGCUCUAUAGCACAAGUUUUCUAAAUCAUCUUCAUUAAAAUUGCAUAAUUUAAUAUCAGCUCUACUGUUGUCUAGCCCCUUGUUCCUCUAGGCACACUGUGAAGUAACUUUUUAUUAAGAAGCAGUUGAGGAAUGCAUUCUUUUACUGCUUUAUGUCUAAAAUUAAAGCAGCGAAGCAUGUAAGGUAUUGUAAGAGCAAAUAGAAAUUGCCCGCAUAAAUACAAAGGGGUUUAGGAAUGCUGCAUAAGGGCACUUUUCUCCUCAACCAGUUGCCUUAAUUGUUUGCCUUUUUCUAGCACAUGAAAUUUUGCUCCACAGUACCUGCCUCAGGAAGGUGGGUAUACUUUAAGUUACUGGACCAAGUGACAAGAAUUUCAGCAUCCUCUUUAACACCUUGCACAUACCUAAACCUUUCUGAGAUCUAAGUCUCAGAUUUCUCAAGCCAACCCUGGUUUGCUGGUAUCAAACUCUACUCAUUUCAUCCAAAAAAUAGAACUACCUGCCUUCAAGUUGAAUUGGUGCAUAUAUUCCAAUACAUGUACUCAAAGAAAAAAUAGUUGUUUUUCUGGAACAAAGGUUUAAUAUAAGAAUGCAUUUAGUGAUUGCAGUUGUAAUACUGAAUUACAGGUAAAUCCUGUGUAGUCAAAAGCACAAAUAUUUAAUAGGAAAGAAAAAACUGUUUAAAGAGUCUAAAAACAGAUUAAUUAGAUGCCUGGAAAAGCAUUGAGAAGUCUUAUGUGGAGGAAAAGUACAUAAAAAGGCCCAAAUCCAUAACUGCUACUAGUUUAUCGCCAAGAUCUCAUUUGUUUAAAAGUUUAGGAUGAAAAUUGAAGCCCUUUUUCAUCUGCUGAAGUGCAGAAGGAUAAUGCUUUUAUUUUAAGUGAAACAGAGGAAAAAAAUGAUUUUAUUUAUAUCUGCUGUGACACACCCACACAGGUUCUUUCUUGGUAGCAACAGCAGUAAACAGUCCUGUAUUCCCAGAGCGCGUUUUUGCUGGCAACAAUUACUGCUGAGCAUAAACAAGGAAAAGAGCCACCAGAGAACACCAUAUGUGGAAUUUAAGAAAAUACAGCUAAUUUGCAAGCUUUAGAUAAUCACCCUUGAAAACAGUAUAAAAGAAAAUUGUUAUAAAAUACACAAAAGAAUACAUUCAGAGCUUAGAACAUACAUUCAUUAGAGAAAAUAACUGCAGCUGUAACAACAAGCUCCUGGCCAAAGACAAGAAGAUUAGAUGUAUUUUAGUGAAACACCAGUACUUUUAUUUCUAAGUCAAAUCUGAAGAGAAGGGUGCUGUAUGUUUUGCUGUAUUUACCUUUAGAUGUACUUCUGAACUUCUGGAUCUAUCAAACUUCAUUUAAAUUACAGUUGGUGGAUUUGAUAUGCAACACUUCAUACAUCAAUACUUAAGAAAAUCAUUUAUUCUUUAAGCAAGUAGGUGCAUAAAUACUCAAGUCUAGUACUGUUAAUUCCCAGGCAGGGGACCAUGAAGUCCCUGAUGUGCUUUUGAGUUUGAAGUUGUCGUACAAAUCCACACACAAUUAAGAGGAUAUGCAUUCACACUUAAAUAAUUGCCAAAGAAAAUAUGGCUUUGUUUCUUAUCUUAAUCUGUAUGGAAAACAAUUUCCAAUAGUUCCAGUGCUGUCUGAACCAUUUUCUUUAGUGCUGUCUUUAAAAUUAAGCUUCACAUACACAAGGCAAAUACCAAAUAUCUGACACUGCUACAUCAAAUAAAGGUUUGUUUAUUUAAUUAAAUUACAGUGUUUCAAUAGGAUGCUACUUGUUUUCCACAACAGCAGAGCUUUCCUACACUCCAUGCAGCUACAGGUAUUAUCCAUCUCCCUAUGAAAUUUUACUAGUCUCAUUGAAAUCUGUCUCAUUUGUUCGUUUGGAGUUUUACCAGUGGUUCCCAUGGAAUCAGAAUUUGGUCAGCAAUCUUUAGUUCAGUUGCAUUGCAGUGAACUUUCAUCAAAACAUUUUUCUUCAAUGUAUACACACCUGGAAAGCCAGAGAACUUUCACCAAAUUUACUUCUAGAGAGGUUAUUUGCAAGACUAGUCAGUAACAAAGAAGGUUUAGGAACUUCCAGACCAUAACACUGAUAACAGCUUGGCUAUCAAAGAAAGACAGUGAUGGUCUCAGUAUCAAAAUCAACUAGCAGUAUAG